GCAGUGGAGGUCACAGAGAUGGAUUUCUCAAAACAUGGACAAACAAAACCAGAACUGUGUGCCUGGCUAAACACCACUAGAGGCUCAGGUCAGCAUUUUGUGGAUCAUCAUCAGGCAGCUCUGAUAAACAGAGUGAGCGACACAGGAUUCAUCCUGGGUAAACUCAAGGAUAGGGGAUUGAUCUCAAAGGAGAACUAUAAUGUUGUGAGAGCUUUGAAAACCACAAAAGACCAGAUGAGCGGCAUUCUUCAGUGUUUGACUUCAGCCAGCUCAAGAGGCAAGGACGCCCUCUAUGAAAUCCUUAAAGGGAUGAGAAGCAUGAGGCCUCUCAUCCUUGAGCUUGAGGAAACUGAAUAAAGGAGGAACACGUAAAAUCCAGUCCAUCAUGUUGGUCAAGACUGUUGCUGUUAAACAAAUGUGAUUACUUAGAUUUACGCCUGUUAGAUACACAGUUGAAUUUGGUUUCAGAAAAGGAAGUCAUCCAGUUCUGUCCCAGAGAUGAAGAAAUAGCCAGAAAAUCCAAUUGCGGAGGUGGUAGGCUGGGGUGGACGGAGGCAUGGUUGAAAAAUCCUAUGUUGUUGUUUAGGUUUGAGGACUUGUUGAAUAUGAGGUAUUAUUCAAACAAAUAUGAAAUCUUUUUAAAGGAGACUGAACUGAGUUUAUGUCAGUUUGUCAUUGUGCUAAAAUUAAUAUAAAUAUUAUAUAUUAAAACAUAUACUGUUUUUCCUGAAGCAGUUAUCUUUCAAGUAGAGGGGAAGCAUGUAUGUUUUUCUUUGUAAUAAACAUUGACCAGAGUGGGGACGACAAGUUGAAGACAAAAAAUAAUCAAUUUCCACAGUGACAGUGGUAUAGUAACCAUACAUGUCCAUGCUGCAUUCAUACCGUGGUCAUAUACCUAUUUAGGUCGCUUGGUCUCCUUGUGUAAUAAUGCUUGUAUAACAUCAAUCCUGUAAUGCACAAUCAAGUUAUAUACAUCGUUUUUUUGUUUUCAGGACAACUAUCAGAUGUGUGUGCUAUAGUGAUGUUUCUCAAUAGUUACGUGACAAGAAAAAAUAAAAAAUAAAACGAA